rnacentral:rRNA from 1 species
UACGAGGGGGGCAAGCGUUGUUCGGAGUUACUGGGCGUAAAGGGUGCGUAGGCGGCUUCUUAAGUCUGGUGUGAAAUCUCCCGGCUCAACUGGGAGGGUGCGCCGGAUACUGAGGGGCUAGAGUGUGGGAGAGGAAAGUGGAAUUCCUGGUGUAGCGGUGAAAUGCGUAGAUAUCAGGAGGAACACCUGUGGCGAAAGCGGCGCACUGGACCACAACUGACGCUGAGGCGCGAAAGCUAGGGGAGCAAACAGG